rnacentral:rRNA from 1 species
UUAAGUUAUUAAGGGCGCACGGUGGAUGCCUUGGCACUAGAAGCCGAUGAAGGACGUUACUAACGACGAUAUGCUUUGGGGAGCUGUAAGUAAGCUUUGAUCCAGAGAUUUCCGAAUGGGGAAACCCAGCAUGAGUUAUGUCAUGUUAUCGAUAUGUGAAUACAUAGCAUAUCAGAAGGCACACCCGGAGAACUGAAACAUCUUAGUACCCGGAGGAAGAGAAAGAAAAUUCGAUUCCCUUAGUAGCGGCGAGCGAAACGGGAAGAGCCCAAACCAACAAGCUUGCUUGUUGGGGUUGUAGGACACUCUAUACGGAGUUACAAAGGACGACAUUAGACGAAUCAUCUGGAAAGAUGAAUCAAAGAAGGUAAUAAUCCUGUAGUCGAAAAUGUUGUCUCUCUUGAGUGGAUCCUGAGUACGACGGAGCACGUGAAAUUCCGUCGGAAUCUGGGAGGACCAUCUCCUAAGGCUAAAUACUCUCUAGUGACCGAUAGUGAACCAGUACCGUGAGGGAAAGGUGAAAAGCACCCCGGAAGGGGAGUGAAAUAGAACCUGAAACCGUGUGCUUACAAGUAGUCAGAGCCCGUUAAUGGGUGAUGGCGUGCCUUUUGUAGAAUGAACCGGCGAGUUACGAUUUGAUGCAAGGUUAAGCAGUAAAUGUGGAGCCGUAGCGAAAGCGAGUCUGAAUAGGGCGUUUAGUAUUUGGUCGUAGACCCGAAACCAGGUGAUCUACCCUUGGUCAGGUUGAAGUUCAGGUAACACUGAAUGGAGGACCGAACCGACUUACGUUGAAAAGUGAGCGGAUGAACUGAGGGUAGCGGAGAAAUUCCAAUCGAACCUGGAGAUAGCUGGUUCUCUCCGAAAUAGCUUUAGGGCUAGCCUCAAGUGAUGAUUAUUGGAGGUAGAGCACUGUUUGGACGAGGGGCCCCUCUCGGGUUACCGAAUUCAGACAAACUCCGAAUGCCAAUUAAUUUAACUUGGGAGUCAGAACAUGGGUGAUAAGGUCCGUGUUCGAAAGGGAAACAGCCCAGACCACCAGCUAAGGUCCCAAAAUAUAUGUUAAGUGGAAAAGGAUGUGGCGUUGCCCAGACAACUAGGAUGUUGGCUUAGAAGCAGCCAUCAUUUAAAGAGUGCGUAAUAGCUCACUAGUCGAGUGACACUGCGCCGAAAAUGUACCGGGGCUAAACAUGUUACCGAAGCUGUGGAUUGUCCUUUGGACAAUGGUAGGAGAGCGUUCUAAGGGCGUUGAAGCAUGAUCGUAAGGACAUGUGGAGCGCUUAGAAGUGAGAAUGCCGGUGUGAGUAGCGAAAGACGGGUGAGAAUCCCGUCCACCGAUUGACUAAGGUUUCCAGAGGAAGGCUCGUCCGCUCUGGGUUAGUCGGGUCCUAAGCUGAGGCCGACAGGCGUAGGCGAUGGAUAACAGGUUGAUAUUCCUGUACCACCUAUAAUCGUUUUAAUCGAUGGGGGGACGCAGUAGGAUAGGCGAAGCGUGCGAUUGGAUUGCACGUCUAAGCAGUAAGGCUGGGUAUUAGGCAAAUCCGGUACUCGUUAAGGCUGAGCUGUGAUGGGGAGAAGACAUUGUGUCUUCGAGUCGUUGAUUUCACACUGCCGAGAAAAGCCUCUAGAUAGAAAAUAGGUGCCCGUACCGCAAACCGACACAGGUAGUCAAGAUGAGAAUUCUAAGGUGAGCGAGCGAACUCUCGUUAAGGAACUCGGCAAAAUGACCCCGUAACUUCGGGAGAAGGGGUGCUCUUUAGGGUUAACGCCCAGAAGAGCCGCAGUGAAUAGGCCCAAGCGACUGUUUAUCAAAAACACAGGUCUCUGCUAAACCGUAAGGUGAUGUAUAGGGGCUGACGCCUGCCCGGUGCUGGAAGGUUAAGAGGAGUGGUUAGCUUCUGCGAAGCUACGAAUCGAAGCCCCAGUAAACGGCGGCCGUAACUAUAACGGUCCUAAGGUAGCGAAAUUCCUUGUCGGGUAAGUUCCGACCCGCACGAAAGGCGUAACGAUUUGGGCACUGUCUCAACGAGAGACUCGGUGAAAUCAUAGUACCUGUGAAGAUGCAGGUUACCCGCGACAGGACGGAAAGACCCCGUGGAGCUUUACUGUAGCCUGAUAUUGAAAUUCGGCACAGCUUGUACAGGAUAGGUAGGAGCCUUUGAAACGUGAGCGCUAGCUUACGUGGAGGCGCUGGUGGGAUACUACCCUAGCUGUGUUGGCUUUCUAACCCGCACCACUUAUCGUGGUGGGAGACAGUGUCAGGCGGGCAGUUUGACUGGGGCGGUCGCCUCCUAAAAGGUAACGGAGGCGCUCAAAGGUUCCCUCAGAAUGGUUGGAAAUCAUUCAUAGAGUGUAAAGGCAUAAGGGAGCUUGACUGCGAGACCUACAAGUCGAGCAGGGUCGAAAGACGGACUUAGUGAUCCGGUGGUUCCGCAUGGAAGGGCCAUCGCUCAACGGAUAAAAGCUACCCCGGGGAUAACAGGCUUAUCUCCCCCAAGAGUUCACAUCGACGGGGAGGUUUGGCACCUCGAUGUCGGCUCAUCGCAUCCUGGGGCUGUAGUCGGUCCCAAGGGUUGGGCUGUUCGCCCAUUAAAGCGGUACGCGAGCUGGGUUCAGAACGUCGUGAGACAGUUCGGUCCCUAUCCGUCGUGGGCGUAGGAAAUUUGAGAGGAGCUGUCCUUAGUACGAGAGGACCGGGAUGGACAUACCUCUGGUGUACCAGUUGUCGUGCCAACGGCAUAGCUGGGUAGCUAUGUGUGGACGGGAUAAGUGCUGAAAGCAUCUAAGCAUGAAGCCCCCCUCAAGAUGAGAUUUCCCAACUUCGGUUAUAAGAUCCCUCAAAGAUGAUGAGGUUAAUAGGUUCGAGGUGGAAGCAUGGUGACAUGUGGAGCUGACGAAUACUAAUCGAUCGAAGACUUAAUCAA